rnacentral:rRNA from 1 species
CUCGGAGUUUUGAGUCCUGGCUCAGAUUGAACGCUGGCGGCGUGGAUAAGACAUGCAAGUCGAACGGUAGAGGGGGCAACCCCUUGAGAGUGGCGAACGGGUGAGUAAUAUAUCGGAACGUGCCCAGUCGUGGGGGAUAACGUAGUGAAAAUUACGCUAAUACCGCAUACGAUCUACGGAUGAAAGCGGGGGUACUCGCAAGAGCCUCGCGCGAUUGGAGCGGCCGAUAUCA